rnacentral:rRNA from 1 species
UAGAGUUUGAUCCUGGCUCAGGAUGAACGCUAGCUACAGGCUUAACACAUGCAAGUCGAGGGGAAACGGCAGCUUAGCUUGCUAAGCUGGAUGUCCACCGGGGCACGGGUGAGUAACGCGUAUCCCACCUGCCCUGAAGAAGGGAAUAAUCCGUAGAAAUGCGGUCUAAUGCCCUAUGUGGUUUGACGAUGACAUCAUAAUUAAAUUAAAGACUUGUCGCUUCAGGAUGGGGAUGCGUCUGAUUAGGCAGUAGGCGGGGCAACGGCCCACCUCGCCGACGAUCAAAUAGGGGUUCUGAGAGGAAAGUCCCCCACAUUGGAACUGAGACACAGUCCAAACUCCUACGGGAGGCAGCAGUGAGGAAUAUUGGUCAAUGGCCGGGAGGCUGAACCAGCCAAGUAGCGUGCAGGAGGACGGCCCUAUGGGUUGUAAACUGCUUUUAUGCGGGGACAAAGUUCCUGACGUGUCAGGUUUUGCGGGUACCGCAUGAAUAAGGACCGGCUAAUUCCGUGCCAGCAGCCGCGGUAAUACGGAAGGUCCGGGCGUUAUCCGGAUUUAUUGGGUUUAAAGGGAGCGCAGGCCGUCGGUUUAGCGUGUUGUGAAAUGUAGGCGCCCAACGUCUGAAUUGCAGCGCGAACUGGCCGACUAGAUUACGCACAACGUUGGCGGAAUUCGCCGUGUAGCGGUGAAAUGCUUAGAUAUGGCGAAGAACUCCGAUUGCGAAGGCAGCUGACGGGGGCGCAACUGACGCUCAUGCUCGAAAGUGCGGGUAUCGAACAGGAUUAGAUACCCUGGUAGUCCGCACGGUAAACGAUGGAUGCCCGCUAUUCGCCCGUUGGGGUGAGUGGCCAAGCGAAAGCGUUAAGCAUCCCACCUGGGGAGUACGCCGGCAACGGUGAAACUCAAAGGAAUUGACGGGGGCCCGCACAAGCGGAGGAACAUGUGGUUUAAUUCGAUGAUACGCGAGGAACCUUACCCGGGCUUGAAUUGCAGAUGACGGAGACAGAGAUGUUGACUCCCCGCAAGGGGCAUCUGUGAAGGUGCUGCAUGGUUGUCGUCAGCUCGUGCCGUGAGGUGUCGGCUUAAGUGCCAUAACGAGCGCAACCCCUCUCCGUAGUUGCCAUCAGGCUAUGCUGGGCACUCUGCGGACACUGCCACCGUAAGGUGCGAGGAAGGUGGGGAUGACGUCAAAUCAGCACGGCCCUUACGUCCGGGGCUACACACGUGUUACAAUGGCCGGUACAGAGAGUCGGUCGUCUGCAAAUGCGAUCCAAUCCUUAAAGCCAUCUUCAGUUUGGAUUGGGGUUUGCAACCCGACCCCAUGAAGCUGGAUUCGCUAGUAAUCGCGCAUCAGCCAUGGCGCGGUGAAUACGUUCCCGGGCCUUGCACACACCGCCCGUCA